rnacentral:rRNA from 1 species
UGAAGAGUUUGAUCAUGGCUCAGAUUGAACGCUGGCGGCAGGCCUAACACAUGCAAGUCGAACGGUAACAGGAAGCAGCUUGCUGCUUUGCUGACGAGUGGCGGACGGGUGAGUAAUGUCUGGGAAACUGCCUGAUGGAGGGGGAUAACUACUGGAAACGGUGGCUAAUACCGCAUAACGUCGCAAGACCAAAGAGGGGGACCUUCGGGCCUCUUGCCAUCAGAUGUGCCCAGAUGGGAUUAGCUUGUUGGUGAGGUAACGGCUCACCAAGGCGACGAUCCCUAGCUGGUCUGAGAGGAUGACCAGCCACACUGGAACUGAGACACGGUCCAGACUCCUACGGGAGGCAGCAGUGGGGAAUAUUGCACAAUGGGCGCAAGCCUGAUGCAGCCAUGCCGCGUGUAUGAAGAAGGCCUUCGGGUUGUAAAGUACUUUCAGCGGGGAGGAAGGUGUUGUGGUUAAUAACCGCAGCAAUUGACGUUACCCGCAGAAGAAGCACCGGCUAACUCCGUGCCAGCAGCCGCGGUAAUACGGAGGGUGCAAGCGUUAAUCGGAAUUACUGGGCGUAAAGCGCACGCAGGCGGUCUGUCAAGUCGGAUGUGAAAUCCCCGGGCUCAACCUGGGAACUGCAUUCGAAACUGGCAGGCUUGAGUCUUGUAGAGGGGGGUAGAAUUCCAGGUGUAGCGGUGAAAUGCGUAGAGAUCUGGAGGAAUACCGGUGGCGAAGGCGGCCCCCUGG